CACGUAGGGCGCAAGCGUUGUCCGGAAUUAUUGGGCGUAAAGGGCGCGUAGGCGGUCUGCUAAGUUGGAUGUGAAAACUCUGGGCUUAACCCAGAGCCUGCAUUCAAUACUGACAGACUAGAGUGCGGUAGGGGAGACUGGAAUUCCUGGUGUAGCGGUGAAAUGCGCAGAUAUCAGGAGGAACACCGGUGGCGAAGGCGGGUCUCUGGGCCGUAACUGACGCUGAGGAGCGAAAGCAUGGGGAGCGAACAGG
rnacentral:rRNA from 1 species